CCGUCGAUAGCUCGGUUGGCAGAGCGGUGGACUGUAGAUCCAUAGGUCGCUGGUUCAAAUCCGGCUCGACGGA
rnacentral:tRNA from 1 species